AUAAUGUGUCCACUGGACAAUUCACUGUUCCAUCUGUCAGUGGACAGUGUUGCCCACCAACUAGUAGUUUCAUAAUUGAGAAGAUUACUACUACCGGUAACAGAGGAGUAAUGUUUGGGGGUGUGGGGACUGUUAAUGGUGAUGAGAGUACAGCUACUAACAGUGUUUACAUAUUUAGUGUGACACAUAGUAUAAUAAACUGGGAGAUACUGAAACCAGGAGCAAUACCUAAUGAGGAACUGUGGCCUAUGGAGAGGG